UGGCUAACUCCUACGGGAGGCAGCAGUGGGGAAUUUUGGACAAUGGGGGCAACCCUGAUCCAGCCAUGCCGCGUGUGUGAAGAAGGCCUUUUGGUUGUAAAGCACUUUAAGCAGGGAGGAGAGGCUAAUGGUUAAUACCCAUUAGAUUAGACGUUACCUGCAGAAUAAGCACCGGCUAACUCUGUGCCAGCAGCCGCGGUAAUACAGAGGGUGCGAGCGUUAAUCGGAAUUACUGGGCGUAAAGCGAGUGUAGGUGGCUCAUUAAGUCACAUGUGAAAUCCCCGGACUUAACCUGGGAACUGCAUGUGAUACUGGUGGUGCUAGAAUAUGUGAGGGGGAAGUAGAAUUCCAGGUGUAGCGGUGUAAUGCGUAGAGAUCUGGAGGAAUACCGAUGGCGAAGGCAGCUUCCUGGCAUAAUAUUGACACUGAGACUCGAAAGCGUGGGUAGCAAACAGGAUUAGAUACCCCAGUAGUCCAGCUGG
rnacentral:rRNA from 1 species